rnacentral:rRNA from 1 species
UACGAAGGGGGCUAGCGUUGCUCGGAAUGACUGGGCGUAAAGGGCGCGUAGGCGGUUUGUACAGUCAGGUGUGAAAUUCCCGGGCUCAACCUGGGGGCUGCACUUGAUACGUAUGGACUUGAGUGAGGAAGAGGGUCGUGGAAUUCCCAGUGUAGAGGUGAAAUUCGUAGAUAUUGGGAAGAACACCGAUGGCGAAGGCGAGCCCCUGGGCUUAACACUGACG